GGACGUAUGGCCUAAUGGUAAGGCACUCGUUUACGAUGCGGGGGAUUCUAGGUUCGAAUCCUAGUACGUUCA